rnacentral:rRNA from 1 species
UACAGAGGGGGCAAGCGUUGUUCGGAAUUACUGGGCGUAAAGCGUGCGCAGGCGGUUUUGUAAGACAGCUGUGAAAUCCCCGGGCUCAACCUGGGAACUGCGGUUGUGACUGCAAGACUGGAGUGUGGCAGAGGGGGGUGGAAUUCCACGUGUAGCAGUGAAAUGCGUAGAGAUGUGGAGGAACACCGAUGGCGAAGGCAGCCCCCUGGGUCAACACUGACGCUCAUGCACGAAAGCGUGGGGAGCAAACGGG